rnacentral:rRNA from 1 species
AACGUAGGUACCGAGCGUUAUCCGGAUUUACUGGGCGUAAAGCGCGUUCAGGCGGUUUGGCAAGUCGGGCAUGAAAUCUCUCGGCUCAACCGGGAGAGGUUGUCCGAUACUUCCAGACUUGAGGGCAGUAGAGGGUGGUGGAAUUCCGGGUGUAGUGGUGAAAUGCGUAGAUAUCCGGAGGAACACCGAUGGCGAAGGCAGGUCUCUGGGCCACUACUGACGCUGAGAAGCGAAAGCAUGGGGAGCGAACAGG